UGGGGAAUUUUGGACAAUGGGCGAAAGCCUGAUCCAGCAAUGCCGCGUGUGUGAAGAAGGCCUUCGGGUUGUAAAGCACUUUUGUCCGGAAAGAAAUCCUUGGCUCUAAUACAGUCGGGGGAUGACGGUACCGGAAGAAUAAGCACCGGCUAACUACGUGCCAGCAGCCGCGGUAAUACGUAGGGUGCAAGCGUUAAUCGGAAUUACUGGGCGUAAAGCGUGCGCAGGCGGUUUGCUAAGACCGAUGUGAAAUCCCCGGGCUCAACCUGGGAACUGCAUUGGUGACUGGCAGGCUAGAGUAUGGCAGAGGGGGGUAGAAUUCCACGUGUAGCAGUGAAAUGCGUAGAGAUGUGGAGGAAUACCGAUGGCGAAGGCAGCCCCCUGGGCCAAUACUGACGCUCAUGCACGAAAGCGUGGGGAGCAAACAGGAUUAGAUACCCCUGGUAGUCCACGCCCUAAACGAUGUCAACUAGUUGUUGGGGAUUCAUUUCCUUAGUAACGUAGCUAACGCGUGAAGUUGACCGCCUGGGGAGUACGGUCGCAAGAUUAAAACUCAAAGGAAUUGACGGGGUCAUAGCUG
rnacentral:rRNA from 1 species